AAACUAGGAUUAGAUACCCUAUUAUUUAGAAUGUAAAUUUUAUUUCCAGAUUAGUAUUAGUUAUGUUCUUGAAAAUUAAAGAUUUUGGCGGUAUUUUAUUCUAAUCAGAGGAACCUGUCCUGUAAUCGAUAGUCCACGAUAAAUUCUACUUUUUCUUAGUUUGCAUAUCGUCGUAGUUUGAAUAUUUUAAAAGAAUUUUAAUAUUCAUGAUUUUUUUAUUAAAAAGGAAAUCAGAUCAAGGUGUAGCUCAUGAGAAAGUUUGUGAUGGGUUACAUUAUUUAUAUUUAUGGGAUUGUUUUUUGAAAUGAAAUUAUGAAUUCGGAUUUGAUUGUAAUUUUAAUUAUUUAUUAAUAUGAAAGUAGCUCUAAAAUAUGCACACAUCGCCCGUCGCUCUU
rnacentral:rRNA from 1 species